CAGACGUCCAGCUCUGAGCCUCAGGCUGACAUAAAGGUCUGAAGACUCAGGCCUGGUUGUGGGGCUCAGGAAGCAGAGUCUGGGGGUGUCUCCACCAUGGACUGGGCUGCACUUCUUCUCACUGUCCUGGCUCACUGCACAGGGUCUUGGGCCCAGUUUGUGCUGACUCAGCCCGGCUCUGUGUCGGGGUCUCCAGGACAGAAGGUCACCAUCUCCUGCACCCGCAGUAGCGGCAACAUUGAGGAUGGUUAUGUGUACUGGUACCAACAGCGCCCAGGCAGGGGCCCCACCACUGUGAUCUAUAAAGAUAACCAAAGACCCUCUGGGAUUCCAGAUCGGUUCUCUGGCUCCAUAGACAGCUCCUCCAAUGCUGCCUCCUUGACCAUCUCGGGGCUGCAGCCUGAGGACGAGGCUGACUACUACUGUCAGUCUUAUGAUAGUAGUAGUAAUCACACAGUGCUGCAGACUCAGGGGGAAGACAGAGGAGGCGCUGUCUGGGACACCAUGAAGGAAAGGACUAGGGGAUCUGAAGUAGCAGGGAAGUCUGGGAAGCUGGAGGUCUGA